rnacentral:rRNA from 2 species
GGACUACAAGGGUAUCUAAUCCCGUUUGCUCCCCUAGCUUUCGCGCCUCAGCGUCAGAAGAAAUCCAGUGCGCCGCUUUCGCCUCCGGCGUUCCUUCCAAUAUCAACGCAUUUCACCGCUCCACUGGAAGUUCCGCACACCCCUAUUUCCCUCAAGACCGACAGUAUCAAAGGCACUUUUACAGUUGAGCUGCAAGAUUUCACCCCUGACUUGUCGGACCGCCUACGCGCCCUUUAAGCCCAGUGAUUCCGAACAACGUUAGGACAGUUCGUCUUACCGCGGCUGCUGGCAC